AAAAGGAAGUAUGAGUCCGGCGCUGGUGGCUGAUACCUAUAAUUCUAGGUACUCAGGAGUCUGAGAUCUGAGGAUUGCAGUUCAAAGCCAGCCUAGGCAGGAAAGUCCAUGAGACUCUUAUCUCCAAUUAACCACUCAAAAACC